AAAAAAAAGUAUUCUUGAGUAUCUACUCUUCAUUACUCAGUAAAAUAAAAAUAAAUUAAUAGGUUAAAAAUUCCAACAUCAAUAAAAAAGUAAAAGAUGACUAGACCGCAACAUAAUGAAUUAUUUGUUGAUUCAUCAAGGAUAUCUAUUGUCUUCUUAGUACUGACAGACACAAAAGUUAAACUACGGUGGUUUCAUUGGCAAUUCCCAUGCGACAAUGAUAACUAAGUUUUUCGUUAAGUUGAGAAGCACACAAAGUCACCAAGUAAAGCAUCAGCACCAAAAUCAACUCAAACUUGUAAAGAAAAUCGUCACCAAGAGCUUACCUUAGCAACUAGUACUAGUGUAACUAGUAACUGAUAAAGACAGACAUUUUCGGAAGUUCGUAUGUUCGUACCAAGUUGUAUAACAAACUUUACUCAGGAUUGGUAGCCCAAGGGAUGAUGGUGGGUUUGGGUAAUAAAGUAAAAGAGCAAGAAUCCGCUAUAGAGAACUAAAGGAUCCUAAGUCUUGAGAAUUUCAGAUAAAAGAUAACGGAUCAAUCGUAAAAAGGUUUUUCUUAGGUCAGGGAUAUCUCUAUAUAUUAUAUAUCUAAUAUAAAUAUAUCUAUCUAUAUAAAAAAAAGCAACAAAAGAAAUUUCAACGAUUUCAUCCCAACUGCCGACAUCAACGCGUAUACAUUUUGUAAAUGUUGGUCAUCAAAAACUUUGAGUUAAAAUGGUCUGGUACUAAUAUACUCCAAUAUAUAUAUAAAUUGUAUAGAGAAGAAAGAGAUUGAGAUAAAGGAUAAAUGGUCCAUUACUUUCAAAUAAUGUAACAUAAUGGAUGAUGUACAUAUACACUUAACUCUUAACACUGUAAAUCUAGUAUAGCAGUGAAUUGCGCCAGAGAAACACAAAAUGAAGCAUAAUCCAGGGAUUACAGUACUAUGUCAUGUGCUAUGAAUUAUUUGAGAUUGCGCUUGCGUCGACUGACGGCUUGCGAAAGAUAGAUCAUGAGAAGCAAAGCAAAGAGGAGGAUUGGAAGAUGGCAAGAGAUUAGGAAGAAGAAUGAGAGAAAUAUAUAAGAGAGGGAGAAAGAUAUUCGAUUACCAGAGCAAUAAGAAGCCAUCCUGUGUAUCCCGGAGAAGCUCGGUAAAGACUUAGCCGUUUACUGCGGCAAUAAAAACGUGGGAACCAUUCAGGUAAAGGAUAUUGUGAUACAUUUUAAGUGGAAAAGAUACAGAGCGAUAAAUUACUCAUACAACGUAAUUGGCUAACCCUACAACUGUUACGGAUGAGUAACCAAACGGCACGUGUUUUCACGGUGAAUAAAAAGAAGAUGAUCUCAACUCGUCGAUGGAUCGUUGCGGGUAAAUCAACUAAAUAACAUUUCUGAUUCGUUUCACCAGCGAAAU